UACGAAGGGGGCUAGCGUUGCUCGGAAUCACUGGGCGUAAAGCGCACACGUAGGCGGAUUGUUAAGUCAGGGGUGAAAUCCUGGAGCUCAACUCCAGAACUGCCUUUGAUACUGGCGAUCUCGAGUCCGGGAGAGGUGAGUGGAACUGCGAGUGUAGAGGUGAAAUUCGUAGAUAUUCGCAAGACACCAGUGGCGAAGGCGGCUCACUGGCCCGGUACUGACGCUGAGGUGGCGAAAGCGUGGGGAGCAACAGG
rnacentral:rRNA from 1 species